GGCGAGAUGGCCGAGUGGUCUAAGGCGCUAGUUUCAGGUUACUGAAAUCCGACCCUUCGGGGAUCAUUACUAGUCUUCACAGGCGUGGGUUCGAAUCCCACUCUCGUCA